UUUGGGUAACCAUUUUUCGAGAACUUCAUCCCCGUCAUUGUGUUUGUGGGACAUAAUGAGGUUUUCAUGCCUAAUGCAAAGUCCCCACCUGUCAGAGUGUGCCAAAUCCCAGAUCAUGUUUGGAAAAUCCUUUCAAAGCCCUGGUUCCGCCUGACAAACUACAUUCAGACCUUUUUAUUUUCCUUUUGCAAAUAUGUGUGACCUUUCGUCAGUUGCUUGUCUUUUGUAAGUGUCCAUCUUGCCUUUUG
rnacentral:lncRNA from 1 species